CCUACGGGAGGCAGCAGUCGAGAAUCAUUCACAAUGGGGGAAACCCUGAUGGUGCGACGCCGCGUGGGGGAAUGAAGGUCUUCAGAUUGUAAACCCCUGUCAUGUGGGAGCAAAUUAAAAAGAUAGUACCACAAGAGGAAGAGACGGCUAACUCUGUGCCAGCAGCCGCGGUAAUACAGAGGUCUCAAGCGUUGUUCGGAAUCACUGGGCGUAAGGCGUGCGUAGGCUGUUUCGUAAGUCGUGUGUGAAAGGCGCGGGCUCAACCCGCGGACGGCACAUGAUACUGCGAGACUAGAGUAAUGGAGGGGGAACCGGAAUUCUCGGUGUAGCAGUGAAAUGCGUAGAUAUCGAGAGGAACACUCGUGGCGAAGGCGGGUUCCUGGACAUUAACUGACGCUGAGGCACGAAGGCCAGGGGAGCGAAAGGGAUUAGAUACCCGUGUAGUC
rnacentral:rRNA from 1 species